AAAUAUGUCCUGGCAAUUGGCUGUUCCAAAGGAGUGACUGGGGAAAAGGAAUUGAAGGAUCUGUUUAAAACAUCUUUCAUCUUUAACAAAAUUAAGGUAUGAUGUAUGGGAACUGCUGCAUGUUGAUACGCUUUCUUGGGGAGAAAAAAUGAACAUUUGCAAGCCUGUGAGAACUCACCUUAAUUAUUUUGAGAUUCAUGGAGACUAAGAAAUAAAGUCCAUCUCUUUAAGAAUUCCCAGCUUAUCGAGGAUGUGGAACUUAAAAUAUUUAAGAGGGCAGUUUACUAAAGACAAAGAAGAGACACAUCUCCAUGCCAGUGUGACUGACAGGUAGAGUAUGGCCAAUAUGCCUGCAUGGCCAAGAGGACCUCACAUGACUGAAAAGGACUUCAUCCUUCAUAUCACCACCUUCUCUGCUGAAACUAAAGCUAAUGAUUUAGAAGAUGCAUCUGAUUGCCACCCACGUUUUUGUGCCUCAUACUACGUAAGUGUUCUGAGGUAUUGUGUCCUAAAAUUUCCAUGACUUGACAGGACUGGAUGGUAGAGGGGACAGCAGUAACUAUGGAUAUGCCAUGGCCUCUGUGGUCACUAAGUCUGAUUUCUUCCAGCUAAAUGUGCAAUCGUCUAGAGACUUAAAAGGAAAGAAAGCCGAGCUGGCUCCUCCAAGCCCUAGACAUCCCAAUCAUGUCAACCAUAAAUUGGAAAGGGAUGGAUUCUGAACUCUGGGAAGCUAAUUGGGAGCCCCAGGCAAAAUUCUAAUGCGGUCAUUGUCCUCAUCAGUGUGGAUGCCACUAAGGAGAUACUGCUGGAUAUACACAUUUAGAGGACAGACACUGGGGCCAUGAAGUAGCCCAUUUCUCAGACUCAAAGGUUGCCAUCAAAAAGAAAGGUAAUAGGGGAGAGAUUUUUAAGCCACAUAUUCAUAAAUAGCUUCAUUAAAUAAAGUCAAAAUUCA